rnacentral:rRNA from 1 species
CUAAGAAUCUUCCGCAAUGGGCGAAAGCCUGACGGAGCGAUGCCGCGUGAUCGAUGAAGGUCGAGAGAUUGUAAAGAUCUUUUACAGCUGAGGAAUAAGUCUAGGAGGGAAUGCCUGGAUGAUGACGUUAAGCUGUGAAUAAGCCCCGGCUAAUUACGUGCCAGCAGCCGCGGUAACACGUAAGGGGCGAGCGUUGUUCGGAAUUAUUGGGCGUAAAGGGCACGCAGGCGGCCUGACAAGUCUGGUGUGAAAUCUCCGGGCUCAACUCGGGAAACGCGCUGGAAACUGUCAAGCUAGAGUAUUAGAGGGGGAGUCGGAAUUCCUAGUGUAGGGGUGAAAUCUGUUGAUAUUAGGAAGAACACCGGUGGCGAAGGCGGACUCCUGGCUGAAUACUGACGCUGAGGUGCGAAAGCAUAGGGAGCAAACAGGAUUAGAUACCCCCGUAGUCC